AUAGCUCUUUUAAAUGGUACUGC
rnacentral:miRNA from 1 species